rnacentral:misc_RNA from 1 species
AUUUCUUACAAAUACCGUUUCACCGUUUCUUUUUACUUGAUAUACUGCUAUGUAAUGCUUUUUCUGCCAGUAAUAAUAUUAGAAUUGGCGUUGAAUGAAUUACAAAAACUGAGGGUUUUUAUUGUUAAUAAAGUAUUAAUUUCAAUUGAUAUGAGGCAAAAAAUGGAAUACAAGAAAAUGUUGCAAUUUCUGAACGAUAAUCCCGUGAAGUAUGUGUUGUGGCGCACUAUCCACCUCGACACUAGUUUGCCGCUUGGUUUUUUGUCGCUCAGCUUCACUAGUGUCGUGUGUCUCAUGCAGUUUAUACAUGUGUAGGAUGUGAUACAGAUAAAUAAUAAUACAUUCAAAG